GGUCAAGCGAGAUAUUAGUGCGGUUCAAUCAAAUAGUCUCACUCUUAGUUGAUAGAGAUUGAUUUUGUUCGAUUGAGCCGUGCCAAUAUCACGCAUAUAACC
rfam:Brassica napus, WGS project CCCW01000000 data, contig: 15648